AUACGGAAGGUCCGGGCGUUAUCCGGAUUUAUUGGGUUUAAAGGGAGCGCAGGCGGAGAUGCAAGCGUGACGUCAAAUUUCGGGGCUCAACCCCGUCUCGCGUCGCGAACUGCGUCCCUUGGUUGCGGGAAGGGGAGGCGGAACUCGUGGUGUAGCGGGGAGAUGCAUAGAUAUCACGAAGAACUCCGAUCGCGAAGGCAGCCUUCCGGCCCGUCAACGACGCUCAUGCUCGAAGGUGCGGGUAUCAAACAGGAUUAGAUACCCUGGUAGUCCGCACAGUAAACGAUGGACACCCGCGGUUUGGCCUGUAUGGCUGAGCCGCCAAGCGAAAGCGUUAAGUGUCCCACCUGGGGAGUACGCCGGCAACGGUGAAACUCAAAGGAAUUGGCGGGG
rnacentral:rRNA from 1 species